UGGAGCUGAAAUCAGUCGAAGAUACCAGCUGGCUGCAACUGUUUAUUAAAAACACAGCACUGUGCAAACACGAAAGUGGACGUAUACGGUGUGACGCCUGCCCGGUGCCGGAAGGUUAAUUGAUGGGGUUAUCCGUAAGGAGAAGCUCUUGAUCGAAGCCCCGGUAAACGGCGGCCGUAACUAUAACGGUCCUAAGGUAGCGAAAUUCCUUGUCGGGUAAGUUCCGACCUGCACGAAUGGCGUAAUGAUGGCCAGGCUGUCUCCACCCGAGACUCAGUGAAAUUGAACUCGCUGUGAAGAUGCAGUGUACCCGCGGCAAGACGGAAAGACCCCGUGAACCUUUACUAUAGCUUGACACUGAACACUGGUCCUUGAUGUGUAGGAUAGGUGGGAGGCUUUGAAGUGUGGACGCCAGUCUGCAUGGAGCCAUCCUUGAAAUACCACCCUUUAAUGGCUGGUGUUCUAACGUGGACCCGUUACCCGGGUUGCGGACAGUGUCUGGUGGGUAGUUUGACUGGGGCGGUCUCCUCCUAAAGAGUAACGGAGGAGCACGAAGGUUAGCUAAUCCUGGUCGGACAUCAGGAGGUUAGUGCAAAGGCAUAAGCUAGCUUGACUGCGAGAGUGACGGCUCGAGCAGGUGCGAAAGCAGGUCUUAGUGAUCCGGUGGUUCUGAAUGGAAGGGCCAUCGCUCAACGGAUAAAAGGUACUCCGGGGAUAACAGGCUGAUACCGCCCAAGAGUUCAUAUCGACGGCGGUGUUUGGCACCUCGAUGUCGGCUCAUCACAUCCUGGGGCUGAAGUAGGUCCCAAGGGUAUGGCUGUUCGCCAUUUAAAGUGGUACGCGAGCUGGGUUUAGAACGUCGUGAGACAGUUCGGUCCCUAUCUGCCGUGGGCGCUGGAGAAUUGAGGGGGGCUGCUCCUAGUACGAGAGGACCGGAGUGGACGCAUCACUGGUGUUCGGGUUGUCAUGCCAAUGGCAUUGCCCGGUAGCUAAAUGCGGAAGAGAUAAGUGCUGAAAGCAUCUAAGCACGAAACUUGCCCCGAGAUGAGUUCUCCCUGAGACU
rnacentral:rRNA from 1 species